AGCGAACGCUGGCGGCAUGCCUAACACAUGCAAGUCGAACGAACGCUUCGGAGGUAGUGGCGGACGGGUGUGUAACACGAGGGAACGGUCAUUUUUGUUCGGAAUAACUAUGGGAAACGUGUGCUAAUACCGAACGUGCCCUUCGGGGGAAAGAUUUAUCGGCCUUAAGGCGACACGAGUCUAAUUAGCUAGUGGGAGGGGUAACGGCUCUCCAAGGCCACCAUGAGCUGCUGGGCUUGGUGCAUGACCAGCCACACUGCGAGUGAUACCCGGCCCAGACGCCUCCGGGAGGCAGCAGUGGGGACGCUUGCGCACCGCGCGAAAGACUGACGCAGUCAUGCCGUGAAAAUGAUGAAGGUGUUAGGAUUGUAAGAUUCUUUCACCGGGGACGAUAAUGACGGUACCCGGAGAAGAAGCCCCGGCUAACUCCGU
rnacentral:rRNA from 1 species